rnacentral:snoRNA from 1 species
CUGUACUGAUGAAAAUCUACCCAGUUCUGCUUCUGAAGUGUCAUUGAAGAUACCCUUCUUACCAUUUUCUGAACC